GUUGCUAAUUGCAAAGUGUGAAAACCAACCUUAUAAUGUAUCCAUACAAAUUGAAGAGGUUUCAAAGAGGUUUGGACAUUGCCAUUGCUCACAAUGGGCAUAGGGUCCAGUGAGUGGAACAUGCUUGAUAAGCCUCUCUAGUUUAAGAAGAAGAUUGGAUAAAUAAUUGAUUGGAAGUUUAUGAUUGAUAACUUUCAAUGUAUUGUAAAGACCAACAAAAAAAUCAAAAACAUUCAUUGACAAUUGUGUUUUCUUAUCAGUUACAACAUUUAUAAAAUUGCUUUGUAGUUGUAUGACAAUUAACCGUAGCAGUCAUACACUCAAUUUUCCCCAUUUAAGGAAUGAUUCCGUGAGAGCAUGACAAAUAAGAGAGCGAACAGUAAAAUUACUGUAAUAAUUGCUAUCAUUCCUGACACUGUUAUCUAUUAUAUUAUUAUUUACUAGGCAGUAUUAUACAAAUUUGAAGUGUUUUAUUAAAUUAGAGCUCUCUAAAGUGGAGGCUGGAAUAUAAUUGACAUUGUUGAUCUGAUUCACUGGUGAAAUAUUUGGGGCUCUAUUUAGGAAUGUGCAGUAAAAGAAAAGGUCCUUGACAUUUUAAUGUUAUUUUAUUAUUAUUAAUUAUAUAUUAUAUUGAAAAAAAUGUGUCCUCGAAUUGUCUAUCUAAUGGUUUUUCAACAUUAGAAUUUUUGUUAAUUUCCGUAUUUAUAAAAAAAAAAAAAAUUAAAAGUACAUUUCUUAUAUUACAUAUCUGCUGUUUUAACAAUUUCUGUAAUUUUAAAACUUCAAAUGUGUGUCUGCUGUAUUAUAUCAAAAACAGAUUCCAACUGAACAGUUUUGCCAAGAACUUCAACCUCCUAGCUUACCAUGGUCAGUUCUGCAAAAGGGAAGCAACUGUUCGUCUGCCUGUUUAAGGACAAACUUCUUAUUUAAUAUCACCAAAAUUUACAGUAAUUCGAUGAAGUACGUUUUGCAAAGAAUUAAAACUGGAUCAAGCAUCUACUAGCC
rnacentral:lncRNA from 1 species